AAACUGAGGCUCAAAGAGCUACAGCGAGACGGAGGAGGAGGUGGCCCCGGCUCUGAUGCAGUUGGCUGGUUCGAUGGCAGACUCCCCCGUGCCGUGACUUGCAGACCAGAUCCGGAAGUCCUGGAGUAGAGUGGGUGGGUCUGCCAGGGCAUGGCCAGGCUGUCUGUCUCUGGAGACUCCCCCAAGGAGAGUUUCUUGACCUUGAGGAUGAUAAUGCAGGGUAGGCUCUUGAGGGCUGUGCAGGGACUCCCUGGAGAGCCCUGGGAAAAGCAGGUCCCUGCCUGCUGGGGCCUGCCUCUGCUGCAGGGGCCAGCGCAGGGGUCAGGUCUCCACACAUUUCAUGUCCAGGCCAUUUCCCCACUCCAGCGCCAAGGCUGGGCACUCCCCAGUCAGUGGCACAGCUGCUGCUGUGGGGUCUCUUGCCCUCCAAAGGUUGGUUUCAAUUCCAAGUGUCACCGCUGGAAACACCGGCCACCCUGGGACAUGUGGUCUUGCCAGGCCUUCUGCAGGGCUCUGUUUCUUAGGUCCCAAUCGUCUACAGGGAGCACUGGUCUGAGAUCUUCCAAGAUGCUGGGCAGGAGCAAGCCUGCCAUGCUCAUUCCCAAAGGACUCCACAUCUAGAUAAAUGAAGACCUGGAAGGCUCUUUGGCUGCACUCUAGCAAAACAGCUUACGUCACCCUGCCUAAAGAGACAGUCAGGAAAUCCCCUUGUUCCUGGGCGAGGAGAAGCUGGCCCACAGGGAGUGACGGCAUUGAGCAGAUACUGCCCUUGGCUCCCUCAUGGAUGGGGCGUGGUCUGCUGACCUUGACAGCGAUCAGGGCAGGGGGCUUGGAGGGAAGGGGUUAGCUGGGGAAGGUGAGGGAGAGGACUGGAGUUAGGACAGGGUGCAGCGACCACAUCCUGUGAUGAGGAGGCAUCUGUGACCUGUGUGAUCUGCCAGGCAAGCAACACAAGUCAUUGUGCUGCUACAUGCCUGCUACUGAGAUAGGAACAAAGAGAGGCUGGUCCUGCCUCUCGGUGCUCUCCGUUGGACACAUCUGCUGGGCAGUACUGGCUUUUACCAUAGGGCGGAGAAGAGAGGUCAGCCUUUGGCGGAGAAGAGAGGUCAGCCUUGACCACAGCAUGAAGACAACAGGAAGCGUAUGAGCAGCUCUUGGUGGUGGAGACCUCAGGAGGGAGGAGUCGGCUUUUCAUAUUUACCAAGGACUCAUUCUCCCCUCCCUGUCAUUGGGGCAUGAAGUAGUUCCAUUGUAAACUCGUCUGGUGGUAGAGUCAGAGGCUGGAGCUCAGAGCCUUGGGAGCCUCCUGCCGCUGCCUUGCUGUGUGUCUCCGGGCAGGUUGCUUCCCCUCUCUGAGCUCACCAGCAACCAGACUCAGAUAGUCUAGAGGACGGAUGAGUGCUCCCCUGGUUCUUCCAGGGGACACUGGGGGGACAUGGGCAGCCCCGGAAGGAAACUUGUUCCUUGAGCUUUGAUACAUAUUCUGAGAUCUGAACCUGCAGGUGGAGGCCAAGGAAAAAACCUAGUGAGCCCGGGGUGGGGUGUGCAAUGGCGUCCAAGGAUGUGGAGCAAGAAGACAAGGCAUAGACCAGGCCUGAGCCGGGGCCUCAAGUUCCCUUAGCCCUACCUCAAGGGGGGCUGAACUGCUGCCUAGUGACUGGGGCUGGAAACUGGCAUCGAGCCUAUGCCAUCCAUUCGUCAUGGUUUGCUGUAAAUAGAAUCAUAUUGUUCACUAUUUAGUACACUGUAAAUAAAAUGGCAGUAAUAUUUUCAUUAUUAA